AUUGAACGCUGGCGGCAUGCUUUACACAUGCAAGUCGGACGAGUGGCGAACGGGUGAGUAACGCAUCGGAACGUACCGAGUAAUGGGGGAUAACUGUCCGAAAGGACAGCUAAUACCGAAUAGUAUUCGAGGGGCCGAUGUCUGAUUAGCUGGUUGGCGGGGUAAAGGCGCACCAAGGAGACGAGCAGUAGCGGGUCUGAGAGGAUGAUCAGCGACACUGGGACGGAGACACGGCCCAGAAGCCUACGGGAGGCAGCAGUGGGGAAUAUUGGACAAUGGGGGCAAGCCUGAUGCAGCCAUGCCGCGUGUCUGAAGAAGGCCUUCGGGUUGUAAAGGACUUUUGUCAGGGAAGCGGUACCUGAAGAAUAAGCACCGGCUAACUACGUGCCAGCAGCCGCGGUAAUAC
rnacentral:rRNA from 1 species